CAAAGGUGGGGCAUGGGCUCAGAGGUGAGGCCACUAGCAGUUCAACUUUGCACAUACAAGAAAAUAAAAUCAAGGCACAAAUUGGGCUGACAAAUGCUGAUAGAGGAGGAGAACACCAUGCAAUAAAAAGGAACACCCAAGCGCAGAUCUGUUUCAACGCAGACGGUACCUGAUGCUAAUAUAAUUGGUCGGCAUAGCAGCGAUCCAUCCAACACGGCUAGAGAUACCUAGGCACUCGGUGCUAUUUCUCGCGUCAAUGCACCCCUAUGCCGGGAAUCGAAGGAAAGUAAACAUAGACGCAUAUUGUGUUCAACGUGAUGAUACAAGUGAGAGUUGGCCUACGCCGCCAACUGAUCUGCGGCAGCGUGGAAGGAGUGUUCAAAAGUAGCAGGAGCAGUUGUUCUACUACUGAUCGGAGGGAGAGCUCGGCAAGGGAGAUAGAGGGAGCUCUACAACUACAAUCUUGGCAUACAACCCGAUGGCAUCAUGCCCACGUAAGCUUCUUCCAUGUUCCAAUUCUUGCACAUGUUGGUCUUUUACUGUCAGAGCUUACGAAAUCUUAGAUGUUGCUGACAAAAGGCCGAGAUACAAUAUUUCAAUUGCAGACUAUAUAUUAUUCAGCAAGUACGUUCGCAAAAAAAUUGAUCUCAGCAGGUUGGUGUUCAUGUACAGGUUGCCAUAUGAGAAUAUACUGUGUAUGGGUCAAAUCUCAAAACAAAUGGCACAUUCUGACCAUAAUUAUUCCAAAAGCAUUGAUAAGCUUUUUUAAACAUCAAGCUAUCUGAAUAUUGAUCUCAGCAGUGUCCAAAAUCCAAAUGGUUAUGUUUGUUCAGAUUUUCCUCAUUUUUACGUUAUUUGAAUUAAAGUAGGGCUUGAGGUUAAUAAUAAAUGAUUGUUGGUAACUUAACUAGCUCCUGAGAAUAAUUUGUGAUAUAGCUUGCUCCUAUAUGUGUCAUUGACAGCGUUCUAAUGUCACAACUUUUUUUUUAUCAUGCACUCUUACAAGGUCAUUUCUUCUUGUUUGUUUUUGUGAGCAGAGCAACCUCCUUCUGGAUGACAAAAGAAUUAGGUCCAGAUAAUUCGUUCUUUGAGCAAAUCAACUUUGUUGGGGAUGCCAAAAGAAGUUUCAGUUUUCUUACUAAUGCGGCAAUCAGUUUUCCUUAUGUUGGUUUUGUACUAAACAUAAUCAUUUAUGAAAGACCUUGAAAGAACUCUAUACAGUAUGUCAAUCAGGAAAAUCAUGUAGCUUUUUGGGCGUUCUCUCUUAGUAUUACAACCUUAAUCCUUGUUGGGUUUGAAAGAAAUUGUGUUAAACAUGGUUAUGAGCUUAUUGGAUCUUAAACAAACUACAUUACAUGUGUAGUAAUUUUAGUAGCUACACAUGCGUACUCUGCUAUGUUAGAUUUAGGAGAAAGAGUUGUUUUAUUCAUUCAUCUGGAUUUUUUUGUCUAAUGCUGAUCUAUUUUUUCAUCUUUUGAUCUUCUUUACUUCAGUUGUGCUCUUGUUACAUUAACUCAGCAUGAUAGAAUGUUUUGUGCUAACAUGAUUCAUGGUUGCAGGCUGCCGCGACAAAAAACUGGGAGAGAUCUAUUAACAAAAUAAAAAAGGUCCCAACCUCCUGUCGAUGCUUAUCUUAAAAACUUGGCAUGAAUUUUGUUUCUUACAUAUAUUUGUCCAUGGUUACCUUUUUCAAACAAGCUUUAGCUUCUACAAUGGGAUAAGGCCUCACAUGAGUGACUGAAAAAUCGUCCCUUUUUAAAAUUUACCUGAUAGUGUUGGGAUUUAAAUAUUUCCUCGGACUAUUGUUUGCAUGCAUAAUUUCUGUCAUGGAAUUCUGAACUAUCACUGUUCUGUACUUGAGAAUUAACAGCCUAGGAAAUUUUGGCUCUCUCCGUCAUGCAUGAGGUAUGUGCGAGGUUGAGGUUAGGUUAUUGAUGCUACUGUUUCACUGGUUUAUUACAAUAUCUUUGAUGACCUACUAAUCUUUUGUUUGAAUCAUGCUUGUAUAAAUCCUUCUUGAGGUUGCCGAAGUCAGACACCAGAAGUUGUGGCGAGGAUGUACCAAGCGCUCGCAGGUGAUGAACACCCAGGGAAUAAUGCACCUAUAUAGGAUUAGGAAUCUGUUUGUAUCAAUGAAAUUGUUGUGCAUGCUCGUAGGUAUAUGUUCUCCUAUCUUGACAAAUGAAAUGAUUGAUUAGAAAACUAUUUUUGAUCGAUGAAAUGGAUGGAUGUAUGGACAUCUUGUUA